rnacentral:rRNA from 1 species
AUUAGCUGGUUGGUGAGGUAACGGCUCACCAAGGCGACGAUGCGUAGGGGUUCUGAGAGGAAGGUCCCCCACACUGGAACUGAGACACGGUCCAGACUCCUACGGGAGGCAGCAGUGAGGAAUAUUGGUCAAUGGCCGUAAGGCUGAACCAGCCAAGUAGCGUGAGGGAAGACUGCCCUAUGGGUUGUAAACCUCUUUUAUGCGGGGAUAAAGGUGUCCACGUGUGGAUGUUUGCAGGUACCGCAUGAAUAAGGACCGGCUAAUUCCGUGCCAGCAGCCGCGGUAAUACGGAAGGUCCGGGCGUUAUCCGGAUUUAUUGGGUUUAAAGGGAGCGUAGGCCGGUCUUUAAGCGUGCCGUGAAAUUUUGUGGCUCAACCAUGAGAGUGCGGCGCGAACUGGAGACCUUGAGUGCGCGGAAGGCAGGCGGAAUUCGUGGUGUAGCGGUGAAAUGCUUAGAUAUCACGAAGAACCCCGAUUGCGAAGGCAGCCUGCCGCAGCGUUACUGACGCUGAAGCUCGAAAGCGCGGGUAUCGAACAGGAUUAGAUACCCUGGUAGUCCGCGCGGUAAACGAUGGAUGCCCGCUGU